CGACCGUGGUUCCGGGCCAAGUCCCUUGGAAAAGGGCAGCAGAGAGGGUGAAACUCCCGUUCUUGCCUGGGAUUUGCGUGUCAUGGCACGUGUUCUCAAAGAGUCGAGUUGCUUGGGAUUGCAGCUCAAAGUGGGUGGUAAAUUCCAUCUAAAGCUAAAUAUUGGUGGGAGACCGAUAGCGCACAAGUACCGUGAGGGAAAGAUGCAAAGAACUUUGAAAAGAGAGUUAAAGAGUACCUGAAAUUGCUGAAAGGGAAGCAAAGGAAACCAGUGCGUUGUGCGUGUCAUA
rnacentral:rRNA from 1 species